GACAGAGGGUGCAAACGUUGUUCGGAAUUACUGGGCGUAAAGCGUGUGUAGGCUGCCCUAUAAGUCGGAUGUGAAAGCCCCAGGCUCAACCUGGGAAGUGCACUCGAUACUGUAGGGCUUGAGUAUCGGAGAGGUUGGUGGAAUUCUCGGUGUAGAGGUGAAAUUCGUAGAUAUCGAGAGGAACACCGGUGGCGAAGGCGGCCAACUGGACGAAUACUGACGCUGAGACACGAAAGCGUGGGGAGCAAACAGG
rnacentral:rRNA from 1 species